rnacentral:rRNA from 1 species
AGAGUUUGAUCCUGGCUCAGGAUGAACGCUAGCGGCAGGCUUAAUACAUGCAAGUCGAGGGGCAGCGGGGGUAGCAAUACCUGCCGGCGACCGGCAAACGGGUGCGGAACACGUACAGAACCUUCCUCUAAGUGGGGGAUAGCCCGGAGAAAUCCGGAUUAAUACCUCAUAGUAUUGUUGUGUGGCAUCACAUAAUAAUUAAAGAUUUAUUGCUUGGAGAUGGCUGUGCGUCUGAUUAGGUAGUUGGUGUAGGUAAAGGCUCACCAAGCCAACGAUCAGUAACUGGUGUGAGAGCACGACCAGUCACACGGGCACUGAGACACGGGCCCGACUCCUACGGGAGGCAGCAGUAAGGAAUAUUGGUCAAUGGAGGCAACUCUGAACCAGCCAUGCCGCGUGAAGGAUGAAGGUCCUCUGGAUUGUAAACUUCUUUUAUCUGGGACGAAACCCUCGUUUUUUAAUGAGAUUGACGGUACCAGAGGAAUAAGCACCGGCUAACUCCGUGCCAGCAGCCGCGGUAAUACGGAGGGUGCAAGCGUUAUCCGGAUUCACUGGGUUUAAAGGGUGCGUAGGUGGGAAUGUAAGUCAGUGGUGAAAUCUCUGAGCUUAACUCAGAAACUGCCAUUGAUACUAUGUUUCUUGAAUUUUCUGGAGGUCAGCGGAAUAUGUCAUGUAGCGGUGAAAUGCUUAGAUAUGACAUAGAACACCAAUUGCGAAGGCAGCUGGCUACAGGGAUAUUGACACUGAGGCACGAAAGCGUGGGGAUCAAACAGGAUUAGAUACCCCCGUAGUCC